rnacentral:rRNA from 1 species
AGCGAACGCUGGCGGCAGGCCUAAAACAUGCAAGUCGAACGAAGCCUUCGGGCUUAGUGGCGGACGGGUGAGUAACACGUGGGAACGUACCUUUAGGUUCGGAACAACUCAGGGAAACUUGAGCUAAUACCGGAUAAGCCCUUCGGGGGAAAGAUUUAUCGCCUUUAGAGCGGCCCGCGUUAGAUUAGCUAGUUGGUGAGGUAAAGGCUCACCAAGGCUACGAUCUAUAGCUGGUCUGAGAGGAUGAUCAGCCACACUGGGACUGAGACACGGCCCAGACUCCUACGGGAGGCAGCAGUGGGGAAUCUUGCGCAAUGGGCGAAGGCCUGACGCAGCCAUGCCGCGUGAAUGAUGAAGGUCUUAGGAUUGUAAAAUUCUUUUACCAGGGACGAUAAUGACGGUACCUGGAGAAAAAGCCCCGGCUAACUUCGUGCCAGCAGCCGCCGUAA